AUUAAAACUGUGAAGAGAAGAGUAGAUACACAGCUAAGUCCUAGCGAGCUGGUUAUGGUGAGAGUCCAGCACAAAGCUUGUAUUGAAGAACGUCUCUGAGUUUCUAACCGAAAGCCAUGUGUUUUAUUAAUAUGGGUGAGUAGACUUAGACGGAGCCAAACCGUUAUUAAUUGGGCGAUAUCGAAUAGAAAUAUUUCUAUUCUGUAUUUGUUGAGUGAGCAAUACUAUGCUAAUCUGGGUGGUACCGCGGAAAAUGAGCCUUUCGUCCCUUUA
rnacentral:ncRNA from 1 species